UCCAGUGUACACAUGUAACAAACCUGCACAUGUACAUGUACUUCCUGAGUCCAAAAUGAAAGUUGAAUUUUUUUAAAAAUAACAGAUAAGCUUCUUCUCUCAAGGAAUUUAUAGUAUUUACAAUUUUUUUUUUUUUUGAGACGGGAAAAAUCCAUGGUGGUGGCUCACGCCUGUUAUCCCAGCACUUGGGGAGGCCGAGGCCAAGGCAGGUGGGUCAUUUGAGGUCAGGAGUUUGAGACCCACCUGGCCAACAUGGUGAAACCCUGUCUCUAAUAAAAAUACAAAAAAAAAUUAGAUGG
rnacentral:lncRNA from 1 species